AUCACAAUCUGCUAUUUCAUCAUGGCAAAAAGAAAGCAAAGAAGCCCCAAAAAGAGUCACUUUGAUGAAAAGCUCCUUGGCCACCCACUUCAGUAGAACCGAGAACCUUCAAUCAAGCCAUGCUUCUCCCAGGACUUUCAAACAACAUUAGAACAUGUGUUCAGUAUGUUUCCAGAAGGGACUGGGCCAACUCUGUAACUAGGCAAAGCCUAAGGCUGCACAAGGUACGAGGAAAUACGAUCGCUAAUGCAAGUAGGAGAGCAGGAAGAAGAGAGAGGCAUGG